rnacentral:rRNA from 1 species
UACGUAGGGACCGAGCGUUGUCCGGAUUCAUUGGGCGUAAAGAGCUCGUAGGCGGCUGUUCAAGUCGAACGUGAAAACUCGGAGCUCAACUCCGAGCCUGCGUUCGAUACUGGACGGCUAGAGUCUGGUAGGGGGAUCUGGAAUUCCUGGUGUAGCGGUGGAAUGCGCAGAUAUCAGGAGGAACACCGGUGGCGAAGGCGGCUUCCUGGACCGACACUGACGCUGAGGCGCGAAAGCUAGGGGAGCAAACGGG